AUUGAACGCUGGCGGCAUGCCUUACACAUGCAAGUCGAACGGUAACAGGUCUUCGGAUGCUGACGAGUGGCGCACGGGUGAGUAAUACAUCGGAACGUGCCCGAUCGUGGGGGAUAACGAGGCGAAAGCUUUGCUAAUACCGCAUACGAUCUACGGAUGACAGCGGGGGAUCUUCGGACCUCGCGCGGACGGAGCGGCCGAUGGCAGAUUAGGUAGUUGGUGGGAUAAAAGCUUACCAAGCCGACGAUCUGUAGCUGGUCUGAGAGGAUGAUCAGCCACACUGGGACUGAGACACGGCCCAGACUCCUACGGGAGGCAGCAGUGGGGAAUUUUGGACAAUGGGCGAAAGCCUGAUCCAGCCAUGCCGCGUGCAGGAUGAAGGCCUUCGGGUUGUAAACUGCUUUUGUACGGAACGAAAAGCCUCUUUCUAAUAAAGAGGGGUCAUGACGGUACCGUAAGAAUAAGCACCGGCUAACUACGUG
rnacentral:rRNA from 1 species